ACGACCUUACUUGAACAGGAUCUGUUCUAUAGGAUCGGACCUCUGUAUCCUUAAUCACUAAGGAGACAGGAACUUAAACCUGGUUGAGGAAUCAUGACCGUGUGAUCAUAGCGUGAAUAAUGGCUUGAUGGCCCUCGUGAUCAUCAUGGCUGUAGAGGAUCGUUUCUCAGCUAUUAACAUGGCUGGGAAUGGUCAUGCGGUUGUCUGACAGGUU
rfam:Populus trichocarpa isolate Nisqually-1 chromosome 15, whole genome shotgun sequence.